rnacentral:lncRNA from 1 species
GCCAGCUUGUUUCUGAAAAGCUACAAUACCUCCCCAAUGGCUUUUGGAAGUUAACUGAGACUGUACUGAGUACCUGUAGCACAACUAGCACUUGGCUACCAAAGAACCACUUAUCUCAGCAUUUCCACCUAGGUCAUGCAGCCAAAAGGGUGACCACACCUGACUUAGGGAAUAAUGCACCUAUUGUGUAAGAGCAGAAGUAAUCCUCACCCACAGUUCUGUCUUGUUCUGUGCAUGACUUGGACUGCCAAAUUUGAGAUACCAACUCAUUUGUGUUUCUGUGAGACAGACCACUGGUUGGCACUGAGCUCUGUCCUACACAAGUCAGAAGAGUUCAGACUGCCCCUGCAGGGAGCCUGGUGCAGGCAGGGAACGCAGUGGAAAGCUGCAGCUGUUUGCUAUCAGCCUGAACCACACAGCACGAAGGAGAGAAGGAACUUUACUGUGGUGAACUGCUGACUGACAGGACUGGGGGUGAGGAUGCUCCUAGCAUGGAGGUGGCUCUGUGCAUCUCUGGUCAAGAU